UAACUACUGGAAACGGUAGCUAAUACCGCAUAACGUCUACGGACCAAAGUGGGGGACCUUCGGGCCUCAUGCCAUCAGAUGUGCCCAGAUGGGAUUAGCUAGUAGGUGGGGUAACGGCUCACCUAGGCGACGAUCCCUAGCUG
rnacentral:rRNA from 1 species